rnacentral:tRNA from 1 species
GUUUCUAUGGUCUAGGGGUUAAGACAUUAGGUUUUCAACUUAAAGACAAGAGUUCAAAUCUCUUUAGGAAUG